rnacentral:tRNA from 1 species
CGAUAGAGCUUCAACCGGACUUAAAAUCCGGUUCCACGAAAGUGGAGUGCGGGUUCGAACCCCGCCUCGGCCA